GAGACAACAACCUGGAUAACCUGAUUGAUCAGCCUCCUGAAAAGUCUGAACUGUGGUUGAAUGUAUUCCAAGAAAACGAGUGGAAUCUGUUGAAAUUCCCAGUUACUAACUGUCGAGGAAAGGUGUCUGUCCUGUCCACAAGUGGGCAGAAGGAUAAGUCAAGGACCUGCUGUUUCCCGUUUAGCUGGGUGAUAAAAGAGAGAUUUGAGCAGAUUCGGUCAAAUGUCAUUAAUCUAAUAGGUCCACAAACUAAACCAAAUAAGGAAUACUUGGAGACAUUUGAGGAAUACAUCCCCCUGUCCUGGAUCAAAAGCAUCAGAAAAGACCAAGAGCUCUUCACCAUGUUCUCUGAAGAUCUUGUGAACAUGUCUAUGCCAACUUACCCAGCUGAGCUGAAUAAGUCUUUUUCAGAUACAGUCCUCAGACUCACAUCACGUCUCUAUCAAGAUUUAACUGGGGAUGAGCCUGAAAACGUCUCUCUGCCCUGGCUGUACAUCACUAAUGAAUUCAUGGAUGACAGUCAUCGGCUCUUCUACAACCUCUACCUCCAAGAUAACAAAUUGAUGGCUGCAGGAGAAGCAACU
rnacentral:lncRNA from 1 species